UGCUGUCGCGGCGUGGCGGACGCCGGUGGCGCUGGGAUCUCUGCGGCUCAUCUCCCCGACGAUCGAAUCGUCGACGGCGUC
rnacentral:tRNA from 1 species